UGGUUCUUACCUCCCAUGGUCAGGUGCCUAAGAGCAGCGUUGAGUUCAUGUUAGCAGUAUCCUGCUUGCAUGUUGGUUUUAGUCUGGGGAAUCUUGGGAUUGCCUUCCAGGCUCUCCGUCUCUCUGGUCUCAUGUAGGAGACUGACAGUUUAGAAAACAGUCUUCUCACCAAGGUAACUGUGAGGCAGAGAGAGAACCACUGAUAUGACUACACCCAAUCAGAAGAACUCUGCUGAGAGUUCCUCUUUCCUCUAGAGAUAGCAUCUUACAGUUUUUCUUGUGUUUAAUGAAGGAGCACGUCUGUAGGAUUACAAAUCUCUGCAUUAUUUUACAUAGUACAGGGGUGCCAACUCUUAGCAUUAUAAAUGAGAACAGUAUUUGACCCAGUGCUCUAGGGAUUGAUAACGUACAUUUAAAGUAAAUAAUUGCUAAGUCCCCAUGUUAUGUGAAUCUAUUAGUACCAUAGUCUUCCAUGGCUGCCAAAAGGUUUAUGUAGAAUAAAGGAGACCAGGAUGAAGCUUUGGCGUCCUCAAGAUAUGUCCAGAUCGCCACAGAAAUUGCUGGCAGCAGGAGGCGCACCUUAGUUUUUUUUCCUCAAACUCACAUAUUUCUACCCAGAGCUGUGGUGGUCCUUCGAUUCUUUCAUUUGGCUGUAGAAGCAAAGUAGUUUUGAACUGUUCUAAAAUUAUUUCACCAUACUUUCAUGGGGCCUAAAGAGAUAUUUUUAGUUUCGUUAGUUUUUAUGAAAGAUGUGUGUCAUGCUCCCCUGACAUAGAGGUUUCUAGUGAUUUCUUGAUUCUGGUAUUUUAAAAAGAUGGGAGUUGGCCUUCAUUGGCAGCUCUCAGCAUCCGCCAGGGCUUGUUCGUUACUUACUUCUAGGCCCGUGGGUGACGUCUGUUUCCUGUCAUUGAAACCACAAGAAGAAGUGGUGAGAAGACUCUGUGGGAUAUGUCCUAUGAAGGCAGCAGCAGCUAAGCACAGUUACCCUCUUCAUGGUCCCUGAAGAGACCCUAGAAAGGCUCUGACCUAGAGCCUCCUAAGCUUAGCCCGAGAAGGCCCCCGAGGGCUGUUGGUUGCUCAAGCCAUGUAAUUAGGUGAGCUAGCUUUUAGACUCCACUGACUGGUCAUUAUUUUUUAUCCCAUUGCACUGUCAUCCCUACAUUUUAUAACUGUGCCCCGUCAGAGUGUUUCCUUAAGUAGAGUACUGCUGGAGGAGAGUAAAUGCUUGUGGGCAUUUCAAAUAUGAAAAUUGGGUGAUGUUGCUUUGCUUUUUUAGACUCUUUUUUUCAAAAGACAUAAACAUACGUUUUAAAACUAGCAGUAUCUAAGAACCUCCAGUUUAUUUUAUUUGAUUAUAUUAUGUUGAUUUUGGGGGGCCACAUCUAUAGCAUAUGGAAGUUUCUGGGCCAGGGAUCAAAUCUGAGCUGCAGCUGUGACCUGCGCCACAGCCGUGGCAAUACCAGAUCCUUAACCCACUGUGCUGGGCUGAGGAUGGAACCCACACCGUGGGACCUCCUAUUUUUUAUUUUUAUUUUGCUUAGUGUUUGAAUAUCCUUGUCGUUAUCUCUAUGCAGGGAUAUUUUUACAGCAUUGCAACUACAGUUUCUACAUGUUAUCUGCUUUUAAUAAAAACAAUGUAUCAUUAACAUUUUUUGGCUUUCUAAUCUUUGAAAAUGGCUACUUUUAUUUGAAAUGGAAAUAUUUUUUAUUAGAAAAGUGAUAUGCAUUGUUCUAAGAAAAUAUAGGUGUGUAUAAAAGUAAAACAAUCCCCUAUCUUGUUUUCCAGAAAUUAUAGUUAUUUUUAGAUAAUUAGAACCAGAGCGAAAACUGUAUGAUGCAUGGUGGUCUCUAUGGAGCCCAAGUACCUUGACGAGAAAUUCUGUGUGUGUUUACACGGGAGCCUAGCUCCGCACAGGUGUGGAUGCUAGAAGCAUCAGAAGGACCUUGUUUUAACUCCUCCUCAUGUUUCUGGUGAUAGAGGAGUAGUGAGAUUUCACCUCAUGCCAUCUCCACUACAUGCCCCCUCCCCACAUUUUCUCAAAUGCAGUCUUAUUCUAGGUUUGUAAAAGACAAAAAUGUUUACGGUGGUUUCUUAAGAUGGAGUCUAGCUUUUGGAGUAGUGUAAUUUCGGGGUCAGUUAAGCUCUUACUGUAGGCUGUGAUUAUUUCUGGGUCUUCAGUAAUGAGGUGAGGAUAGAAGAAAAGAGGCGUGACCGUCGUUUAGAAAUGGAAGGUUUGAGAAUGGUGUGUGCAGCAAGGCGGCCUCCUGCUUGGUGCCUGUGUGUAGCAGCCGUAUCAGCUUCAGGACUUCCUGUCUGCCAGGCCUUUGGGUGUGUCAUUCACACGCUCACCCUUGAGGAAGUGUAGUUGUCCUGCUGCUCACAUCACAACAUGGGAGAAGACGGUUGCUACAGAGAUGGGGAAACAGCAUUCCUGAGUCACUGACUGUUUCUAAAUGAAUGGACUACACCCCUCUUUUAAAGGAGCAAUCGCAGUCUUCUGUAAGCCGAGGCAGUCGAGAGAGAGACCCGAUAAGAAAGUAAAGAACAACUAUCAGUAUUUGGAGCUUGAGAAAUAUGUCAAAACUUUGGGAAAAUAGCUCACCCUUAUAUAGUGUUUUCUAUAUAUGUAUAUAUUCAAAAAUGUUAUCAGAACCUUUGGAUGUUUGAAAGGGAGGACUUACUCUCUUCCUCCCCCAGAUGACAGCGUGUGUGUACCUGCUUCCUGACAGCAGGGGAGAUGGACGUGUCAGCCACACCAUGUGAUAGGUCACAGGAAACGAGGACUUGAGAAUCUGAGCACUUUCUCUCUCGGCCGCUCGUUUUCCCAGCCCACAAGCUUCGUGGUGCGAGGGGCUGGCCGUUUGUCUGGACGGACACACAGGACUGCCAUGUGGCCAGCCUGGGUUCCCCCUGUUCUGCUGAGCUGGAAUAAUGAAACCCGAGUGGCCUUGCCUUCGGGUCCUCUAGGCUAUCAGCUCUCUUGGAUGCGGGCUCUGCUGGUCCCAGGCUUCAGGAUGAGCUAAGCUGGAGGCAAAAACUUAGAUUCUUCUUUGCUCCAAGAGACUGGCCUCCUUGGGCUAUUAGAGGACUGUUAGAACAUAUGGGACUUGACCGUCAGAAGACUGAGUUCUAAUUUUAGUACAGUUUCCCCCUCAUUUUAAUUCGAGUCAAAAAUGUGGUUUACUGGAAAGCAGACUCUUGACAGUUUUAGACAGUUGUGAGGGAAAUUGUUGCUUUGAAUUUAUAAGUAAAUUGCUUCAAGUUUGUAAGUAAAUUAUUGAAAAAGAAGUAAUUACCUGGUGCUUUUUAUAUAGCAGAUCUGUCUUGUGCUUCCCAUGGGCCACUGCCUGGAGUCUUUCUCAGCUCCCUGGGUUGUAUCAAGAAAAAUACACAGAUUCUGAAAGGUAGGGACAGAUUGAAAGGAGUCUUUUAUUUAUUUUUUUUGUAGUUUUCUUUUCUUUUGUAUUUUUAAAUUAAGUAUAGUUGAUUCACCAUGUAAAAAAGAAGUCUUUUAAUUAAGAGUGAAAGAUCUUGGACUCUAUCUGCUGUUUCCUUCGCUGUCUCCUGUAUGAAUUUGACGACUUGAACCUGAAAGCUGAGUGUGGUUGUGAGAUUGCGGAGGCAGGUGGGACUGAGCUGCUGGAGUCUUACUGCUUUAGCGCUUUUUCCGUAGCGGUCACGGAGGUCGCCACUGUGCCAUCCCUGCUCCUGGAGACUGCUCGAUAACCUUCAGUUUUCUUUAAGCACAUUGAGCUUUUUGUUAACUUAAUCCAUGUUUUUCAACCCCUGGUCAUUUUGUGCUUCUCCUUUAGACUGCUUUUCCUCUGAUAGACCCUUUAUUUUAUUUUGUUUUUUAAAGUGGAUACUCCAUUUCUACACAACUCCUGCUGAGGCUAUUGGCACCAAUCUAAAUUGUUUCCAUGUAAAUGGCAGAUGAGGUAUUGACUCAUUAGAUGCCAUCCUUGGACCAUUAUUUGAAAAAGGAAGGAAAAAUUUGCUGCAUUUAAAGGUAUGCAUUAUUUGCUUCUCUCUAGUUCUAAUUGACUUCUCUGUAAGGAAUAGGAAUUGAAGGGAGCAUCACUGGUUCCAUCAUCAUAUAUUACUUAACCUUUUACAAAGCACUUUGCUAUUUUAUUAUUUAUUCUUCAUACAAGUCCUGUGAGAUAAUCCUAAAGAUAAGAAGACUGAAACUAUGGUGCAUACACAGAAAAGCUUACCACGCCGUUACUGUCCUUUAGUGGAAAUGUGGCAAAUUUUGUGGCAAAGUUGAAAUAGGAUUUAUUAUUUUUUUAUUUUUAUUGUUUGUCCUUUUAGGGCCGAACCCGUGGCACAGGGAGCUUCCCAGGCUAGGGGCUGAAUUGGAGCUGUAGCCGUCAGCCUAGCCACAGCCACAGCCACACCAGAUCUGGGCCACAUCUGCAGCCUACACUGCAGCUCACGGCAGCACUGGAUCCUCAGCCCCCUGAGGGAGGCCAGGGAUCGAACCUGCAUCCUCAUGGAUGCUUGUUGGGUUCGUUAACCCCGGAGCCACGACAGGAACUCCAAGAUUUAUUGAUAAUUGAACUCACAUCUAUAUUAUGGCCCUUUGUUGCCUCACUGUCCUAAGAAACUGAAUGUUAGUCCUAUUCUCAAAUAAAAAAUUGAAUCCGCGCCAGACCCUGCUGUCUGUUCUCUUUGAUUCUGAAUGACAGAUACCUCACCUGUUCCUUCCUGGGUACGUAGAUUAGGAUUUGAAAGAACUCUGUUGUUGGCUGCAGUGACACUAAUUUUCCAUUUUAUCCACAGGUAGUCUGUGUCUCUCCUGAAGACUUAUUGCUUUUCAAAGGCGGUAGAAAACUCCCUAAGUGACAUGUGUCCCAUAAUUGGAUAUUUUCCUAAGAACAACUAACAGAUAUGUCAUGUGGGCUGAAGCACCAGUCUGGGUGGCCUGGUCUCAUUCUUAGGGAAAGGCCUUGUUUCUUAAAGGUUUGGUCUGAGCUGUCUAUGACAGCUGUACUGUAUUGUCAUAAACCUUGACUUGAAACUUUUCCUUAGUUUAUUCAGUUUGAAUGAAGUAAUGAAUGAAUGACUAUACUGUGCUUAGGGUGAUACUCCUAAACCUAGAGUGAUGAUAAUUUUAAAAAUAUGUAUUAAAUAUUGGCCAUAUCAAAUAAAUAAGACAUGAGCCCCCAAGCAACUUAUAUUCUAGCCCACAGAAACAGCUACAAUGAACAGUCUUUUUUUUUUUUUUGCUCUUUAGGCCCAUACCCUCGGCAUAUGGAAGUUCUCAGGCUAGGGGUUGCAGACAUGGCUCGGAUCUGGAGUUGCUGUGGCUGUGGUGUAUGCCGGCAGCUACAGCUCCGAUUCAGCCCCAAGCCUAGAAACUUACUUCCAAAUGCCAAGGGUGUGGCCCUAAAGGGGAAAAAAAAAAAAGGAGGAAGAAUCUGAUAUAAAAGAUUUAGUCUGGCUUGGCUGAAUCCUUUGGGUCUUUUUGUGAAAUGAUUGUGGCUAAAUAUAUAACUAAUGGAGAUGAGGGAUGACGUUUUCCUUAUGCUCUCGUUGGGGCGCAGUGUUAACUAGUGCAGUCUUCAAGUGUCUAUAAGAAGUCUUUCUGUAGUAAAAACAGCACAGUUGCCUUUACAGAAUAAUCUCUCACUACUCCAUUUUUAUGAUUUUAGUGGUCCCAAGAACCAUUUUGUUUUUUAAUAGGGGAACCGAAGCAUGAAGAGUUCAUGUGAUUUGCUCAGAAUCACGCUUGUUAAAGAAAGACACCUGAAAUAAAAAUCAGGACUCAGGAUCUUUUUCCUUUAGCUAAAGUUCUAGGUAAAUUUUGUCAGUUUGCUUAAUGUAUCAGUUGGCUACUUUUACAUGACAAACUCAACAGCUUAAAAUAAAACCCACUUGUUAGCUGACAGUUCUGUUAGAGGUCUAACAUGGGUGGUGUGGCUGGGUUCUCAGUAUUAGAGGGCUCAAAUCAAGGUCUCAUCUGUAGGUGCUGGAGGAGAAUCUUCCAGGCGAAUUCAGGUUGUUGCUAGACUUUGGUCUCCUGCAGUUGUAGGACUGAGGCCCCUCGUUUUUUUUUUUUUUUUUUUUUGCUGGCUCUCAGCUCCUAGAAGCUGCCUGUAAUCCCUGCCAUUUGGCCUCUUUUAUGCUCAAGCCAGAAACGGCAUGCUGACCUCUCACGCUAGAUCUGCAGGGUUUGUGUGAUUGAGUAGGCCCACACAGAUAAGUUCUCCUUCUUCAAAGUCAGUCGUGGAGUUCCUCUUGUGGCUCAGUGGCUCAAGAACCUGACAUAGUGUCUGUGAGGAUGCGGAUUCAUUCCCCCGCCUUGCUCAGUGGUUAAGGAUCCGGCCUUGCAGCAAGCUGCAGUAUAGGUCACAGAUGUGGCUUGCAACCAUUGUUGCCAUGGCUGCGGUGUAGGCCAGCAGCUGCAG
rnacentral:lncRNA from 1 species